rnacentral:rRNA from 1 species
GGACUACAGGGGUUUCUAAUCCUGUUUGAUCCCCUUGCUCUCGCGCCUCAGCGUCAGGUAUAAGCUAGAUAACCGCUUUCGCCACCGGUGUUCUUCCACAUAUCUACGCAUUUCACCGCUACACGUGGAAUUCCGUUAUCUCCGCCAAUCCUCUAGUCCUAUAGUUUCAAAUGCAGCUCCGAAAUUGAGUUUCGGAAUUUCACAUCUGACUUACAGAACCGCCUACGCGCCCUUUACGCCCAAUAAUUCCGAUUAAUGCUUGCACCCUCCGUAUUACCGCGGCUGCUGGCAC